GACGAACAGUGCGAACGUUAUUCGGAAUCAUUGGGCUUAAAGGGCGCGUAGGCGGCGGUGUAAGUUGGAAGUGAAAUCCCAUCGGCUCAACCGUGGAAUUGCUCCCAGUACUGCAUCGCUCGAGGGGGAUAGGGGUCUGCGGAACUACCGGUGGAGCGGUGAAAUGUGUUGAUAUCGGUGGGAACGCCAGUGGCGAAAGCGGCAGACUUGACCCUUCCUGACGCUGAGGCGCGAAAGCGUGGGGAGCAAACAGG
rnacentral:misc_RNA from 1 species